AAGAGACAGCAGUAGCCGCGGGAAUACAGAGGGUGCGAGCGUUAAUCGGAUUUACUGGGCGUAAAGCGUGCGUAGGCGGCUUCUUAAGUCGGAUGUGAAAUCCCUGAGCUUAACUUAGGAAUUGCAUUCGAUACUGGGAAGCUAGAGUAUGGGAGAGGAUGGUAGAAUUCCAGGUGUAGCGGUGAAAUGCGUAGAGAUCUGGAGGAAUACCGAUGGCGAAGGCAGCCAUCUGGCCUAAUACUGACGCUGAGGUACGAAAGCAUGGGGAGCAAACAGGAUUAGAUACCCCCGUAGUCCCUGUCUCUUAUAA
rnacentral:rRNA from 1 species